rnacentral:rRNA from 1 species
UACGAAGGGGGCUAGCGUUGUUCGGAAUCACUGGGCGUAAAGCGCACGUAGGCGGAUCGUUAAGUCGGGGGUGAAAUCCUGGAGCUCAACUCCAGAACUGCCUUUGAUACUGAGGAUCUCGAGUUCGGGAGAGGUGAGUGGAACUGCGAGUGUAGAGGUGAAAUUCGUAGAUAUUCGCAAGAACACCAGUGGCGAAGGCGGCUCACUGGCCCGAUACUGACGCUGAGGCACGAAAGCGUGGGGAGCAAACAGG